rnacentral:rRNA from 1 species
ACUCCUACGGGAGGCAGCAGUGGGGAAUAUUGGACAAUGGGCGAAAGCCUGAUCCAGCCAUGCCGCGUGAGUGACGAAGGCCUUAGGUUGUAAAACUCUUUUGGCGGGGACGGAUAAUGACGGUACCCGCAGAAUAAGCCCGGCUAACUUCGUGCCAGCAGCCGCGGUAAUACGAAGGGGGCUAGCGUUGUUCGGAAUCACUGGGGCGUAAAGCGCACGUAGGCGGACUGGUCAGUUGGGGGUGAAAUCCCAGGGGCUCAACCCUGGAACUGCCUCCAAUACUGCCAGUCUUGAGUCCGAGAGAGGUGAGUGGAAUUCCUAGUGUAGAGGUGAAAUUCGUAGAUAUUAGGAAGAACACCAGUGGCGAAGGCGGCUCACUGGCUCGGUACUGACGCUGAGGUGCGAAAGCGUGGGGAGCAAACAGGAUUAGAUACCCU